rnacentral:rRNA from 1 species
CAUUUCACCCACCCCACUACACUAAGCUCGCCUAACAAAAAGAUUUAACACCUUCAGUAAACCAAUUAAAGCAAGCCAACUCACACUCUCCCCCCGAAAGGACUAAAUAAAAAUCCCCCAAAAAAGCAUUAGACCCGCCUACCUUUCGCAUAAUGUAGUUGCAACACAUCAUACCAGAUAGUAUAUCCCGAAAGACAAAGAGCUAUUAUAAUAAAUAGCCCAAAUAUGUCAUUAUAUGGACUCAUGUUAUAAUAGAAGCAACACACCUUCCGAAUUGUCUGAUAGCUGGCUUUUCCCAAAAAGUAUCUUAGUACUCCUUUAUAGUCCAUACAAUAACCAUCAACAAGCUAUAAAAGAAAAUUAAACGAGGAUAAGCCCGUUUAAAACGAAAAUAACUAUACACCCAAACCCUAAACAAAUAAGCCUAAAAUUAGCUACAAAGCCGUCAUAGGCCCAAACAACCAGGAACUAAAUUAAAUCUAAAUAUUCUACCUAAGGGAAACCCUUACCACAACUUAACUAUAAGCAGAACCGGCAAACUAUUAGUAUUCCACACUCUUUAUUAAAACCAAAAAUUAAUACAACCCUAACACCUAAACCAUUACAACACAAAACAAAUUUAAUCAAUUCAGCAAAACGGAUCUCCGCCUGUUUACCAAAAACAUCGUCUCUUGUAAACAAACAUAAGAGAUAAUGCCUGCCCAAUGAUACACACAUUCAAUGGCCGCGUUAGCGUGAGCGUGCUAAGGUAGCGUAACAAACAGCCCUUUAAUUGGGGGCCAGUCAAAGGCAACACGGAAAUCAGCUGCAUCAACUUUGUAUAAAUAACUUUUCGUCUAAGUGAAUAGACUUAAAUAAAAUAAAAAGACAAAAAGACCCCGCGGAACUUCUCUUCCGCACUUUAUGGGUCACAACAGCCCAUAAAACUACAAGAUUGGUUGGGGCAACCCAGGAACCACACAAACUUCCUCAGCAUUAACUAGCUUAAUAUACAAAAUUCGUUACAGAUCAUAGUCAUAGUUACCCCGGGGAUAACAGCGUCAUCCAAUUAAAGAGUACACAUUGAAAACUGGGUUUGCGACCUCGAUGUUGGCUUAGGGAAACUGGGUUUGCGACCUCGAUGUUGGCUUAGGGAAACAAUUUGGUGCAGCCGCCAUCUUACGUUAGUCUGUUCGACUAAUAAACCCCUACAUGAGCUGAGUUAAGACCGGCGAGAGCUAGGUUGGAUUCUAUCUUUUAUUUAACAAAACCCUUCUUUAUUGUACGAAAGGACUUAAAGAACACCAACACUAAGGUGCCGCCUUUAAAACACUAACAACACUGUUCACCUCACAUACAACCAUCAAACUUACAAUUAC